AAUGGUUAGCACUCUGGACUCUG
rnacentral:piRNA from 2 species